GAUUCGGGUGUGGGGCACUUCAAAAGAGUCGAGGGAGAUUGAUGCCUCAGUAUCCCCUUGACAGAACACAGACCGCCUACAAAUUCUACGAGUGUCUACUAAAGCCAAUUUGUGAAGGACUCAGAUUACUGGUGGGGAAAAUAUUGUAAGUUUAGCCUUAAUCUGCGAUUGGCCAGGAAGUAUUAAAUACUUUACUGACGAAUUUGGAAUAACAGUUGUUUGAAAACAUUAUCAUUAUUUAUCUUUUAAAUGAGUGUAAACUCAAAUUUCGUAUGACUGUAAAUUCGAUCAACACAAUAAAAUUACAUACGCUCUCUGGACUGAAAGUGUCGAAGCGCGUGGCGCCGAGUGUCGCGACGACUGGUCGGCGUUUGUUCUCAACCUUCUUUUUGUCGUGCCUGUUAAUUUUAUUUAUUCAGGGCAUACUUUAUGUUCGACAAAUAAACCGCUGAACCAUUAAAAUCCUUACUACAAGGACUUGAGCAGUGCCCACCUGUCAUUCAUACCUGGUGCAUAUAGACUUGGAGUGAGCUAUUUUAAGGAUAAUAUAAACUUUUAUUUGUCAUAAAACGAUCGUAAAAGGAACAAUACAUAUAGUAGGAUACUCCUUAUUUUGGGUAUACCUAAUAGACAAUAGCGUAUGAUGGCGGGUCACGUAGCAAGAUGAUGUAACCGGCGAUUUCCUGCGAGGUGCGCAAAGCACUGCUGGAUGAGCGUGUGGCGUGCGCUUGCCUGCUAAUUAGUUGCGCUGACGUCAUCCGUGGGGAGCGUGGCUUCGGCUCGCCAUUACCGGAGGCCUUCGCGCGGAAACGACAACGACCGACGCUUUCUCUGCGGCUGCAGCAACUCUGCACACUGCCCACUGUCCCUCUAUCAGCCACCUGUCAAGGUCAAAACUAACUCACAACGGGCCACUCAGGGUAUAUGUACUUAUCUCGUUGGAUCUACUUAAGUAAAAUUACUGAUCCAGCAAAUCACUAAUUUUAAAUCUCUGCAAUCUAAUGAAUAGUUCUGUUAUUGCACGUCAUAGAACACAGUGUAAGAAGUGUGCAGAGAGGCGUCUAUGUAACGAUCGUGUUUGAUAAAAUAGGCGGAGCUCAGGCGCGUCGCUAAGCGUGACUCAUCUUAAUGGCUGCAAUUACGACAGCAUACAGAGCGACCAGCAUCGUACCGUCUGCGAGGAAUCGUCACACGCUUAGAAAAGGAAAAUUGAAAAUAAAAUAUAAGUUUUCUUCAAGGAUUUCCUAAAGUACUUUUGACUUUUGUAGUCACAAUAUCUCUGCGUUGUGUCUAGGCCAAUCUGGAAUGUUCGACCCGGAAUUUCCACCGGCAGUCGACGUCGGUGACUACCGCCACCGACACUACGGACGAUUAUCAGAAUCUAUUGGCAACAAUUGAAGGUCAAUCCCCAAUUGUCGUUUCGAUGCAGUAUUGCGUCUAGAUCAAUCAAUCAAGAAAUACUUUUUCUAUCAACUAAUGAGGUCGGUUUAUAUUGUAAGAAGUAACGCAAAAAGUUUAUUACGAGUACGACUGACUAACCACUAAUUUCACGAAAUCUCAAGAUUUUCUAAUAGGAGACAUUUUUAUGCAAUGCUGCUUAGAAGUAAAAUGGUACUUGUUUUUGAAAAUUUGGCUCAAAUCAGGUUGCCGUUGCUAGCUGAAAUGGGCGAUAUAUAAAAAAUACAACAAAUAAUUUAAAGCAUUAAAGCUCUAUUUAAUACCUAACUAAAAGAUGAAGUCGUGAAUCAUGUCACGGGUUACUUUAAAUGUCACGCGCCUCUGUGAAAGGACCUAUACUCGGUGCAGUAAAUGCCGUCACGAUCUUGCUUUGGUGUCGUAAAAACUGGUACCCUUAUGCUCUUAAAUUCAAUUUGCUUUGGGCAUCAUUUUUAUUUUUUUCCACAACAAUCGGUGAGUAAUAGGUAUCUCGAUUAUUUGGAAAUUCUCAGUGCAUUCGAUGAAUCACAGAAGUGACGUCAGAUGGGUUGGUAAUGCCUCCCUCCCUGUUUCCUACUUUCUACUACCUACGCUCAAAACAAAACAGUUGGCCACCGCAAUUUCAAUUGCAAUGAAGCCCACGGAAAAAUUACUCACACAUACUUAUCUUUGCCAACUCUGGUAGUAGCGGCCAGUUGGACGUGAUGUAUGAACCUUUUCCCGUCCGACCUCCUUCGUAACUGUGUUAUCUUGUUUUAGUACGAGUAUGUAUACAAACGACUGACUUGGAUUUUCCUUUCAUUGAGAGUAUUAGUAUCAUGUUAUUGUAAGAUGCGCAUGCGUAACACUUGCAUCCGAUUUCAUCGAAGUCGUUGACCGGCGCAGAUGCAAGAUGGAAUGUAGCGCUUUUGGAACUUAGUUUAAUAAUGUGUUGGUAUUUACACGAUGUAAGAUGCGCCCUGAAUACCAAUCGCUGAAUCGUUGAAAUGCUAGGCUUAGCUACGAUUGCGAAUCGAUAUUAUAUUUGGAACUGGUUAGUCAUGUUACAUGUCAUGCAGUUUGGUAUGUGGUUACAUUUCAAGGUUCAUAAUUUAGGCAUUUGCUUAACCUUUUUAAUUACUAUUAAAUUACCUGAACAGUUGUGAUAGUCACUUUAGAGUAUGUAUUACAUUCAUAAUAUGCAUUAAAUUGCCGGCUUGUCUCCCGUCGUCGAUAUGCCGAUAUAUGUAUAUAAAGUAACCUCAGAUUCUCUUCAAACUAUUAACUUUUUGUAGGGUCCAUGUACCUGCUUGAUCGACGUUUUAAUAAUCUUGUCGUCUAUUGAAUAUUUUACGUUGUCGUAAGUGCAGAAGACAAAGAGUAGGUAAAUUAAUUACAUUAAGAAGCUGAAUGUUUCAUGUUGGCAUCGAUGCAACGUUAUCAGAAAGUUGUAUCUGAAGUGAUUGUUAUUUCGACACUGAACAAUGAAGCUUUUACGAAAAACAAUGGGCCACUAAUAAUCUUCUGUUUAACGAAACGGAACUUGAUUUCAGUAUCAAUUUUUAACUCCUACACACGGCCCACGAUCGGCGUAGUUACUCAAGUUGAACAUUUCUGACAGCCGACAGAUUGCCUAAUAUAAAUGUUUAAUAAGCUGUUUUAAGAAGUAGUUUAAUUGUAAUGUAUAUGGUUAAGGAGUGGUAUCGGCAGUGUUAUCGUGUCGCUAGUUACAGCCAGUCUGCGGGAUAACUCACGCUGUCCUCCCACGCGACACUCUCGGGAUAAAACCGGCGUGUAGGCUGCCUGAAUAUCUUAUUGCACUCGCCAUUGAAAGCUCGCCGUUAAUUAUUAUCCGAUCUUUACAGAGCUUGUUUGCGGUGAAUAGGAGAUAACUUAGCCUGAUGUGUGUCGAACAAGAAAAUCGUGGCGCUAAUUAUGUGUAAACGAUUUAUCAUUUUAGUUUAAAUAAUUUUCUUUAGGUUUCUCUACGUUUAUCGGAACACAUGGUCGCUGUAAUACUUGAAGACGUGAUUGAUCGCAUCCUUCACUUCAUAUUUCUCGAAGCUACUUAGCUUAUAAUGAAAUUAAGCAUUGCCAAUCUUAUUUAUUAUCCCUCAAGGAAGUAACCACGAUGAUACUUAUUCAUCAACUUUUACAAACCAUGUCGAGGUCGGUAACAUGUAAUUUUUCAAUUAAGUACUAUUUUAUCGUUUAAUAUCCUUAUCUGUGCUUCUUAUCUAAUUUAAUAUAACGGCAACGACUAAAGUACUCAUUGUUGGUACAGCCGCUUUUAUUAAAAUUGGUCUUAUUCAUAUUUUAUGAUGACAUAAAAAAAGAAAUGCAUACACGGCGAUAUAAAUAGCCGAAGGCCGCCUCCCGGUCGCGGCUGUACGUUUAUGCCUACAUUUAGCCGAUUGCAGAAAAGCUCGGGGAUUUAUAUAGAAGCGCAUGAGUUGCAUGACCCAAACAGGUUCUGUUACAAGUUAGCUCCACGCCCACAUAUUCGCCAUCCUCCUGACCCGACACGUAACCCUCGCUGAGUCAUUUUCAGUAUUCACUAUACUUUCCAUUGGGGUCUCUUCUCCGUAUGUAAAUUCAGUAGGCGUGCUAUACGAGCCACAUCAUUACUUAUUUACAUUAGUUACGUACCCACAGUUGGUGAAUCAAAUGUGGCGCUCACAAUUUCUUAUGGUGCUAAAAAUAAAGCAUGUGUUAUCCUCAAUAAUUUACUGAGAACAAUGCAUCAUUCAGUUGGAUUGAGUUAACAAAUAGAGACGCGUGGUCAAGUGAUUCAUUCGCAACUUGUAAGUCAACAUGUUGCAGAUGAAGAAAUUAAUACCUACUUCCACAUUAUAGAAGUUAAACAUGUAAACAUCCUGUUGUUUUCGCAUGGAGUAAAGAGAAUAUUGAAACUAAACUAUACCUUCGUUGUAGAUAAAAUUCUCUGCACUUCAUUGAUCAAAAGUUUUUCUUCCCCUGUGUCUGACAAGACCGCGGAGAUCAAAUGUUUUUGUAAGCUAGGUUCUUUUUUGUUUACGAGAUUUCAACAAGUCCCCUGUGCGUUCAAAUUGAAAAGGGGAGUUCAGGAAAUGGGAACUACUUGGCUGUCACUAGUAUAAAAAAGUAUCUUCAAAAUUCCUCAUAGAUUUGGUUGUACCAAUAACAGAAAUGUUUGUAGUGGCAACAGACAUAAUUUUACUCUGCAGUGAGUGUCCAUAGGUAAAGGACAAAGGUGUCGCUAAGCUCUAACUUAGAUUCAGUUUAUAUUGUAUUGUAUUAUUACUGACUUUUCUUUGUAUAUAACCGUAGAAUUAUACGUUGGAAAAGAAAUAAGUUCCAAGAACAAGGUAAUCCUCUUAGGCAAUAGUUACACUUAAGUCUUACGUUCCUUUGAGACCUUUGUGGCGCAAUAUUACAGCACAAUAAGAACUAGAAAGAAGAAAUAUUUACUUUAUAUAUAUUGGAUACACACACAGUAACAGUAUUUAAUCUUUUUUUUUAAAUAACAUGGUAAAGUAUAAAGUUAUCACGCAAAGUUAUAAAUAAACAUUAUUUAAUACUCACGGUGUUAAAGCCAGCUCUGAUCCGCAAUGGUAGCGACAAACCGGUGGUUUGUAAUUAACGUGUAGCGACAUUUUUACAUGUAGAGACGAGCCCUCUCUGGUGUCGCUGACACAUUUUAAAAUUCCUUUGAUUAAAACAUGACAUCACCACGCGGUCCAACUAUCCAGCAUUUAAUUGUGGGAAGGGCUUGUACUGUUAUUGCAACAAACAUCACUAAUAAACUUAAAAAAAUAUAUUGAUGAAAAAAAGUUGAGUCCAACAUACAGCAAGUACUCGUGGAACGUAUUCAAAUUUAGUUUGUUCUGGUAUCUGCAUAGAACAGGCGUCGUCAUCAGAGCGGCGACGCAUUCUUCCGUGAUUCUUGUGGUCUUUUUGCAUUCCACGUGUUUAUAUGCGAGUGGAAGCGAGCAUCGAGCCACGCUCCAUUUGCGUCGCCCUCCUCCUUACAUUACACGACUAUAAUAAAUAUUACCUACACAGAACACACUCGUAUAUUUCAAUUGUACCGAUUACUUUCUCGCGCGACUGUUCCCAAGAAGUAGGUACCGACUUGUAUGUUUCUCGAUUCCUUAGAAGGACAUGAUUUCUCAAAUUGUACAGUACCAGUUGGCCGGCUUUCGGCAGAAAGUUUUUAUUGGCACAGUGUUGCGUGCUGGUUUCGUAAUGUAAGUGGUUGCCACCGAUGCAGCACAGCCUACCAGUCUGUUGCAAUUGCAAUAAAUUGUCCUUGAUUUAUGUGACGAUAAAGACGAAAUAAUCGGUGAUGCAAAUUUUUUAAAGCUCUGAGUAAUUUGUAUACUUAAGUGAAGAGUUCAAGACCGGUUUAUGUAAUAUAAAACCUGCGUCACUCACUAAAAGAAGUAAAAAUCAUCCUCGUACUUGGAAAAAGUUGAUUGUUUACUUUUCUUACGCAUUCUCAAUUUCUCGUAAAUUGCAGGAUGUUUGGUAUUUUAUUUUUAUUAAAAAGACAAAAAGCCAUAGCUUGCCAUCAAAUGUUUAUGGCUUCUAUUUAGACACGUUCAAAGUAAGCAGUUAACUUCGCUUUGAAGUGCUCAGCACGGGUGUAUGUCAUUUUGUAUUUUACAGGCAACCUUUUUUAUUUCUAUGUUAAGCUGGCUUCAGAUUUCUUUCCUUUCCAACCAAAUCUUUGGUGUAAGUUGUCUGAACGUGUCCAAGUGUAAAUUCAGUUGGAGAGUCGCGUCGCCGUUACUUAGGAUCUGGAGCGUUGCCCGUUGUCCGCAGUAUGGCCGAUGUUUCACAAGUUAUGCCGGCCGUAAUAUCUUGGAUGUUAACGACAGUUCUCGCGAAAUGUACAGAAAUAACCGCCUCCCCACACUGCGAACACUUCGAUAAUUCUGUCAGUGCACUACCAAUGCACUUCGCUGCUGGAGACGAUGCUAUAAUUUUAUUUAAAACUGGCUUUCAAUACUGAACGAAUCCAAUCUUAUAACUCAACUAUUUCUGUCCGUAUGAAGUGUGACGAGAACUAAAACUUUCUUUUGUAAUUUAAUCGUUACGACCCGUAUCGACUUACACUUUUGCUUCCAUUUCUAUUUAACUUUCAAUAUGAAUUUAUUAAGCUGUAACAUGCAAUUCAUUACGAACCUUAUAAAGUAAAACAUUUAAACAAAGAGAAAACAAACCGUUCUGAAUUUAACGAUUUAUUACUGGGUGGGAGGUGGACACAAAUUUGGAGUAUUUCAGCUUCAAUUCGGUCUCAAUUUAUAAAUUCCUUAUUAAUUGAAACACGAAAUUAUACUUUUACAUUAAACCGAUAAAUCAGCGGCGGCUUAAUGAAUGUCCAUUUUGUAUUUUCCUGCGUACCUAUUAUAGCUCCAAUUAGGUGUAUGUUUGCACAGAUAAGAGCCAAUCGAAAAUCCGAUGGAGCUUUUAGCCUAAGCUAGAUUACUCGGCUUAGUAAAUCUUGAUGUAAGUGUAUUUUUAACGAAGGAACUGGAUCUGCGGGCUGGCUAAGUGGCCACUCGCCAGAUAAUGGCUCCGUGGACGACUUAGUAACUUCUAAUCAAAAUGGACGUGUCUGCGUCUGGUAACCGAGGUCUGGUCCAACUUAAGCGUUAAUUAAGUAAAUACUUUCAGAGAGACAGCUGUCAAGACAUUUGUUAUUAUGUUAUGUGUUGAUUGAUCGGUGAGACGAAUGUGAUAUGUAAUUAACAUGGUAAAUUUAAUUAGUAUUGUGGUUGUAGUACCCAUUGCUUUUGUAAAUGUAAAAGUGUAAUGAGUUUAAAUAAUAAUUUGUCUCUGGAAAUUAUCCUAUGGCUAAAAGCAAUCGAAGUAGGUAACGUAAUACAGUGUAGGUUAUUUGGCAACUGUCUCACUUGACUUUCGUCUGAACUUGGCCGCGAAAUAAUGUCUACUUAAUGGAAUAAAACUUGGAAAAUGUGUUUUCUUGUAACCUUGCUGUAGGACAAUGAAAAAAUACCUAAAUUGUUCGCUAAGUGAAUGGUUACGUUCCAAUUUGUAUUCUAUUGUUUUAUUUGUUACAAUAUUCAAUCGCUUGCCCACUAGACUGUUUCAUUUCGUAAAUUGUUAGUUACAAGUUUAAGGAAAUCACAUAAUGAAUUGGAUUUUUGCAAAAUGCUUGAGUCGAGACUUACAUAUUUUCGAGAAAUACAAAAGAAUAAUCUCCGCUACCUAACCUUUCGGAGAAUAGGUAAUAGGUAGAAAUAAAAUAUUUUUAAAAUUUUGUAUUUAAUUUGACCCCAAUGGAACAUUGUUCAAAAUCGAUUUCUCUCGGCCCCGGCCUUCGGCACGCAUUGCGAACGCCUUCGUGUAUCACGCAAAAUAAUGUAUCUUUAUGAACACUACCUACAAUAAAAAGAAGUGUUCGAAUUUUUAUUACUACAAAGUACAAAACGUGUGUUAAGUUCGCGUUGAACUGUUAUCAAAACAUUCCUAGGAUUCCCACGGUUCGUCUUGAUCAUUGUGCUAUGUAGACCAUCAUUACAUCACGCCUCGUAAUUGCGUUAUUGGAUGCCAGUAUAUGGUAUAACGACUUAAUUAUAAUCUAUGGUGAUGUGUUACAAAUCUCUUCAAAGGCAUUCGUAUUUCAUUCUUACCGUGUUUGUACUUAUACGGAUAGUGAGAUUACUCCGCGUUUGUAUUGUGUUUAAUUUGGACUGGAUCAAUAGUUCCUUAAUUCAAUUACAUAGUUGGCCUAUAGCUGUUCAGUAGGCUCUACCUCUAUAAAAUGUAGUGUGAAGUACUUAAUUACUUAAUUAACAGAUAUUUAUAAAAAUACUACUUUAUUCAUAUACAUUGUAAACAGUGGUACACUUACAAUUUGAUACUAAAUGAUAGAUAUAAUAAAGUUAAAACUCAUGGCUAUUUAUGGUAUUUAACUGCACGUUAUUCGCAUUCCCUUGAUCAUGAAAAAAGCCACUCUCUUUACAAUAAUUUGCUAAGAUCAACAACAUAAAAAUAAGUGUUCAGUAUUGAGGUUCUAGAAUGAGCACCAUGAGCAAUCCACAAUUUCUAGAGAUUACGGCUAUAGCCCUUCAUAACCAUUCAUUGUAACGGUGUGUGAAGCAGCCCCAUGUUCUUGCUCAGCUCCCGUUUAUGAGCUGUUGAGCUGUUGAGGUGAUCGAUUAGACUGAACAGUUUUCAACAUUCUACCCGCUCAUUGUAAAACCGGAUACAUCGUUCAUAAUGCUCAUUAGAAAGGAUUUGAUUUAUUAUCUCUAAUUACAGGAAUCAACGCUUCUAUUAUACCAAUGUUAACAUUAAAUAAAUUACUUUAAGUAAGUAAUUGCCUAUUGUCUUUUACUACCCACAAUUCCUGAUAUCAUUAAAAACCUGAAGCCCACAUUCCGAAAAAUAUUUUCAAAUCCACGCAACCAUCUUAAUCCUAAGCAUACAACGCGAGUAAUUCAAUAACUUCGGAUAAUCUCAGCGUGUGUUUAUGAAAACGUUAACUUUUUGGACGUAUACGACGUGGAAGAUCAAAGAGUUUGUACAGUAUAAGGCCCCAUAAAUGUUUAUUUUUAGCAAAAUCUUUGCGUCUGCGGUUGUGGUAUAACAUGCAUGUAUAAUGUUGCUUUAAAAUAUACAAUUUGCGAGUGUACGUGUCCCGUCACACAGGAUACUGCGACAACACCUUGGCCGGCUUGCAGUUUCCGUUGCCAGCUUUACAAUCAACCAUUUUAUUGCAACAUCUAUACACUCUUUACUUUAUUACACUUUUUAUAGGCAAUUUCUUAAGUUCAACCGAGACCAUAUCCGCUAAGCUUUAGUUUAAUCCAUUCCACAUAUAAUUAUUAUUUAUCACAAUUUAGCUUUUAAGCCAACACUUAAUGACGUUUUAUUUUUAUUAGAAAAUCAAUUCUGUUUUACAAGUAUUAGAAGCGAAACGGAAAAUUUCAAUUCGAAUCAUUGAAGUAAUUGCCAUAACCAGUAACCAUUACUUAACUUAUAUUGUUAUCGAUACUCGUUUUUGCGAAUGGCAAUUAUAGAGCGGCGGUGAAUCACCAGCACCUGCCUGAGUAAUAUUUCUUUAGGCAAAGCGUCGGUCUUGUUGAAUUGAGUAACUUACUCAACAACUUGCAUUACCUUUAUGUGUGAAUAUGUAGAUACCUAACUCCGAUGCGGCUCAUUUAAUUUACAAGCGUGGCUCACUGGUCCGUGAAGUAGUUUUAUGUCUGGAUUGAGACACAGAUUUAGAUAAACACAUUUAUUUCACUUAAUGAUGUUGUCUCUAGCGUUUGUUAUUAAACACACAUCACAUGGAAGCAGGACAGCAAUCAAUUGUAUUUGUUUUUGAAACCGUGCGAAAUUCAAGCGUAACAAAUUGUUUAGGGAUUUUGAAACAAUACAAAUUGUAGUCUUACCUAGCAUGUUUUACGAAAUUUUGCUUGUAUUUGUCGAAAUAAAACAAAUACCGAUACAUUUCGUAAAAAUACAUUUCACCGACUGUUGGCGAUGAAGUGCUGCCAUUACCGAGUAUUGAAAUCCGCAAUUUAAAUCUUUCUCAUCUUUCGUUUGAUCGUAAAGUAUGGCGCGGAUUUCGUAGCGGUUUUUGCCAAUGAAUGUACCAAAUCGUUCACAUAGCGCAUUUUGAGUGUGUUAUUAAUCUUAUUGAGUGUAAACAAGCCCGUAUGCGUCGCGGCGCCACACGGUGAGUCAGACAAUCGCGAUGUGGGCCGCCGCGGGCAUUGUGCCGCGCUAGGCUGUGGGGCGCUUGCAUUGUAUGAUUGUAUGUAAAGGAGGCGCAGGCGGGCGCCCAGCGCCCACCGACGCACUGCGUCUACGAGAAAGCACUGCUUACUUGUCAUUGUCAACCACAUGAAAUCUACACCCAUCGCGUGUACUCAAAACUCAUUGACAGAUAUUCAGUUCGUGUCAACACAUUCUCUCCGAAAUUAAUCCCAUUGUUUCUCAAACUAUUAGUUCUGUAAUCGAUCGCUUCACUUUCAUUCGAUAAACACAGUGCUGUUGUUUGUUUAUCUGGUGGCUCGCGUCUUUCUCUCACGAUUUGUGUCGUGAUGAAGAGUCUCGCAGAUCCACGAAAUGAUAACUUUCCUUCAUUCGUGAGUUGAUCUUAACAUUUAAACUCCUGGCAAGAAAUAAUGUUUAUGUGUAAUUAAUUUUGUUUUUGCUAACGGUUCAUCUUCACUGCAAGCUUUAUGGGCUUUACAAAAUUAAAUGUUAUCUCUGUCAAAUAUAUCUUCACAGAAUAUCGGCCAUAUCCUAAGCUAUUUUUUCCAUCAACAAUAUUUUCAGUCAUAGCUAGCUCGACCACAUUUAGAAGCAAUGCCUGUUUCAACUAUUGUCAUAAAUAAAUACAUAAAACUUGCUGGUUACGGACCUAAAAUCCGUGUCUUUAAUGGCCGCUGCGAACCGGGUAAGAAGUUAAGAAGCAUGUAGCAUAAAAUAGCAUUAUAUCCUUGACCCGGCGUGGGAGGGAGACGCGAGUAUUUUUAACCGAACAGGUCAACAACCGACAGUCCGGUGUUCCUCCUGCAAGGUUGCAAGUAUUGCAAUUUGAACACGGCUGACUAUAAAUUAACUAUUAUUAAUAGUCGUAUUGACUUCUGCCUCAUAUAUUUUGUUCUCUGACAAAUACAUCUGCUUGCAAAUAAACAAACUCUAUUCUACUCAUGUUUUAGUAUACAAUGCAAAGCGUGUUAUUUACGCAGCUGUUGCUGUGUAACACUUCAAUUUGUGUGCUAAUACGUCCGUAGGCGAUAUCCAGGAUUGGCCAAUCUUGUUACGAAUACAUAAUCAAAUCUUAUCUUGGUAAUAAAGUGUCGCAGUACAAUGUGCAGGUAACAGGUUCAGGUACACGAAUUCGCAGUCGUUGGUCGUGACUUCAACGAUGCGUAUCGGCUUAUUUCUAGAUACUGUUUGUUUAUGUAUUGCGAGUGUUCUUUGUACAUCAUCAAAGUAAUUUCGAUGGAACAACAUCACAAGCGCAUAUUCAGGAUCUUUAAUUGUAAUCAGGGUUGGGGAGUAGCCUGCAAUUUGGUCGAGAUAAUUCGAUAACCGGAGUGUAUGCAGGAUUCGGAAAUUGCAAUGAUUGCGUCGGAGCUAGGCCGAGCAGAUGAAGAGACGCGCAGUGCGCCGCCCGCCCGGCGCAUGUUGCCGAUAUUGGCAAUGCAAUUACUGAUAGGGCUGUCAUUUUGACACGCACAAACUCAAUGCACUCUGCAUUUGUAAUAGGCCACAAGCACAACUAAUAAAAACUUAUAUUUACUA